rnacentral:rRNA from 1 species
GACGAACGCUGGCGGCGUGCUUAGCACAUGCAAGUCGAACGGAAAGGCCCUGCUUUUGUGGGGUGCUCGAGUGGCGAACGGGUGAGUAACACGUGAGUAACCUGCCCUUGACUUUGGGAUAACUUCAGGAAACUGGGGCUAAUACCGGAUAGGAGCUCCUGCUGCAUGGUGGGGGUUGGAAAGUUUCGGCGGUUGGGGAUGGACUCGCGGCUUAUCAGCUUGUUGGUGGGGUAGUGGCUUACCAAGGCUUUGACGGGUAGCCGGCCUGAGAGGGUGACCGGCCACAUUGGGACUGAGAUACGGCCCAGACUCCUACGGGAGGCAGCAGUGGGGAAUAUUGCACAAUGGGCGGAAGCCUGAUGCAGCAACGCCGCGUGCGGGAUGACGGCCUUCGGGUUGUAAACCGCUUUCGCCUGUGACGAAGCGUGAGUGACGGUAAUGGGUCAAGAAGCACCGGCUAACUACGUG